AGGGAACGCUGGCGGCAGGCCUAACACAUGCAAGUCGAACGAACCCUUCGGGGUUAGUGGCGGACGGGUGAGUAACACGUGGGAACGUGCCUUUAGGUUCGGAAUAACUCAGGGAAACUUGUGCUAAUACCGAAUGUGCCCUUCGGGGGAAAGAUUUAUCGCCUUUAGAGCGGCCCGCUUCUGAUUAGCUAGUUGGUGGGGUAAUGGCCCACCAAGGCUACGAUCAGUAGCUGGUCUGAGAGGAUGACCAGCCACAUUGGGACUGAGACACGGCCCAAACUCCGACGGGAGGCAGCAGUGGGGAAUCUUGCGCAAUGGGCGAAAGCCUGACGCAGACAUGCCGCGUGGAUGAUGAAGGUCUUAGGAUUGUAAAAUCCUUUCUCCGGUGAAGAUAAUGACUGUAGCCGGAGAAGAAGCCCCGGCUAACUUCGUGCCAGCCGCCGCGGUAACAC
rnacentral:rRNA from 1 species